GAUGAACGCUGGCGGCGUGCCUAAUACAUGCAAGUCGAGCGAACGGACGAGAAGCUUGCUUUUCUGAUGUUAGCGGCGGACGGGUGAGUAACACGUGGAUAACCUACCUAUAAGACUGGGAUAACUUCGGGAAACCGGAGCUAAUACCGGAUAAUAUUUUGAACCGCAUGGUUCAAAAGUGAAAGACGGUCUUGCUGUCACUUAUAGAUGGAUCCGCGCUGCAUUAGCUAGUUGGUAAGGUCACGGCUUACCAAGGCAACGAUUCAUAGCCGACCUGAGAGGGUGAUAGGCCACACUGGAACGGAGACACGGUCCAGACUACUACGGGAGGCAGCAGUAUGGAAUCGUCCGCAAUGGGCGAAAGCCUGACGGAGCAACGCCGCGUGAGUGAUGAAGGUCUUCGGAUCGUAAAACUCUGUUAUUAGGGAAGAACAUAUGUGUAAGUAACUGUGCACAUCUUGACGGUACCUAAUCAGAAAGCCACGGCUAACUACGUG
rnacentral:rRNA from 1 species